GACGAACGCUGGCGGCGUGCUUAACACAUGCAAGUCGAACGGAAAGGCCCUGCGUUUGUGGGGUGCUCGAGUGGCGAACGGGUGAGUAACACGUGAGUAACCUCCCCUUGACUUUGGGAUAACUUCAGGAAACUGGGGCUAAUACCGGAUAGGAGCUCCUGCUGCAUGGUGGGGGUUGGAAAGUUUCGGCGGUUGGGGAUGGACUCGCGGCUUAUGAGCUUGUUGGUGGGGUAGUGGCUUACCAAGGCUUUGACGGGUAGCCGGCAUGAGAGGGUGAACGGCCACAUUGGGACUAAGAUACGGACCAGACGCCAACGGGAGGCAGCGGUGGAGAGUAUGGCACAGUGGGCGGACGCGUGAUGCAGCAACGCCGCGUGCGGGAUGACGGCCUUCGGGGUGUAAACCGCUUUCGCCUGUGACGAAGAGGGAGUGACGGUAAUGGGUAAAGAAGCACCGGCUAACUACGUG
rnacentral:rRNA from 1 species